GGAUCUCUGGUCUGGACCACAAUUUCUUCGGAACUUAUCAAACCACUUUCCAAUCACCUAACCAUAGUGCAAGAACGCAGCAAAUUACCAUCACCAAUGACUACUGCAGCCGCAUUCACUUCCUAUCAGUUAAUUGAAAUAUUUUCUUUUAUUAGUUUAAUCACAUGGAUACAUAAUGGUUUAAAAGAAUGAAGUCAAGUUUAAGGCUAUAGACUGUGAAGAAAGCAUUAGACAAGGCUAAUGAUCCAUGAGUAAUCAAAAUUAUUCUAUUCAGGCCCAAGUAGAUAUAUUUAAUUAUGUUGAAUGGAUCCCAAUCCUUGCGGCGGCCAGAGAUCAUGAAAGACACGUGUAGGACAAACGCUGAUUGUUUUUGUUAGAAGCUGAACAGUUAUCCCACAUAGGAGAAAAAUAUCAAAGUCGGAUGGUAUUUAAAAUAGAACCAAGGCACACAAGGUCACGACCUUACUUGAACAGGAUCUGUUCUAUAGGCUCGUAUCUCUGUGUCCCUAAGUUCAAAGGAGACAAGAUUCCAAGUCUGGUUGAUGAACCAUGACUGUGUGAUCUGAGCGUGAUUACUGGUCUGGUGUUUCCCUUGCUGGUUUCACUUCGACCGCAGAGGAUCGUUCUCAGCUUGCCUUGCGCGGUUGGGAAGGUCACGCAGUUGUCUGACAGACUCUCUCCCCUUUUCCCUUUUUUUCUUUUUCCAUUUGAAUUUGCAGGCUUAUUGCAUGCAGAUAGUUCCUUUGCAGUGUUGUUUGAAGCAAAAUUUGGGGGAUUUUAGAAGGCAAGCCCUGCAGAGAUAGUAAUUGAGAGUUGAAUGGCUAGAAACUUACCAAAUAUGAGUUUAGAAUUUGCAAUGCUGCCAUUCUUAGAUUAACGCACUUUCACCAGAUUAACAGCAAAUAAAACUCCCAUAUCUAUUCUUAUAUAUAUAUAUACAACAAAAAAGCUAAAAAUGUUUUUUCAGGUCAUUAGUCAUCCUCGGCAAUGCUUUACCG
rnacentral:lncRNA from 1 species